rnacentral:rRNA from 1 species
AUUGAACGCUGGCGGCAGGCCUAACACAUGCAAGUCGAACGAGUGGCGGACGGGUGAGUAAUGUCUGGGAAACUGCCCGAAGGAGGGGGAUAACUACUGGAAACGGUAGCUAAUAACGCCUACCAACGGAUGUACCCAGAUGGGAUUAGCUAGUAGGGGGGGUAACGGCUCACCUAGGCGACGAUCCCUAGCUGGUCUGAGAGGAUGACCAGCCAAAGUGGAACUGAGACACGGUCCAGACUCCUACGGUCGGCAGCAGUGGGCAAUAUUGCACAAUGGGCGCAAGCCUGAUGCAGCCAUGCCGCGUGUAUGAAGAAGGCCUUAGGGUUGUAAAGUAAUUUCAGCGAGGAGGCGUUACUCUCAGAAGAAGCACCGGCUAACUCCGUGCCAGCAGCCGCGGUAAUAC